ensembl:rRNA 5S_rRNA 5S ribosomal RNA
GAUGGCCAUACCAUCCUGUAUGUGCCCAAUCUUGUUUCAUCUUGGAAAACUAAUAGGAUCAGGCCUGGUUAGUAUUUGGAUGGGAAAAGAAUCAACAUAGUUAAAAUGGCCAUUU